rnacentral:tRNA from 1 species
GGGCGACUAGCUCAGAUGGUUAGAGCGCGUCACUGAUAAUGACGAGGUCAUAGGUUCGAUUCCUAUGUCGCCCACGA